rnacentral:rRNA from 1 species
AUGCUAGUACCAAGCUGUUUCACCUCAUGGCAAAUGGCAGGAAGACAAAAAAAUUUAUACCGGCGAUCAUGCAUGAUGGUAACCUUAUCACGGAUCAGCACGGCAAGGAGGAAAUCUUUUUUCCAAACUUACAAACACUUGCUUGGCUCGGCAAGAGGGCGCGAGAACACCAUUGAUCUAGAGUUUCUAGGGAUCCAGCCGGUGGAUUUACUGGAUCAGGACGUGUACUUUACGGAGGAGGAGGUUUGGGCCACGAUCAAGGACAUGCCAGCGGAUCGCGCGCCGGGCCCGGACGGGUUUAUUGGCCUCUUUUUUCAGAAGGCUUGGAGCACUAUCAAAGGAGACUUGCUUGCCGCCAUCCACCAUCUCUUUCUUGGUAACGGCCGCGGCUUUGGAAGACUAAACCAAGCCCUGAUCACUCUUAUCCCUAAGAAGGCCGGCGCAUGUCGUGUGGGAGAUUUUCCGUCCCAUCAGUUUGGUUCAUAG